GAUGAGUUGAUUUUUCCGCAUUUUAAUAUUCUUUCAUUCAUAGAGAUGGAUGCCGAGGCUUUUUAGGUCGGGUAGAAUCUGCAAUCUCUGACACAGUUUGUUUGUUGGCUUCCAUGGCUACAAUACGCUGUGUUUUCUGCCAACCGGCAACCUGGGGUGUCGAAAUACUAUUUGGUGAACUGGCAACGUGCGGUAUCGCACAGACCAAAACAAAAACAGAUAUUCCGACACGGAACGCACAUUUCAAAGUAAAAUAAUUGGCUGUAGCAUUGUUUUUCAGAGAAACAAGUGUGUGAACAUACCAUGUUUCCUAAAUAUCUGCAAACAUAUUAUGGUGUUUUUAUGCUUUAGUAAAGUGAAAAACGUACAUACAGCACCUUUAAAAUGGGUUUUUCAUUAAAUUCAAUUUUGUAAUUCAACUUCAUGUUACUUCAAAUCAAAUUCAUUUAAAAAAUGUUUGAAAAUUUGGCCAAAAUGAGGUGUCUGUAGGGUCAGUGUAAUUAUUUGGAAUAGCAUGUCUGGGAUUUAAUUAUGACACUUUGCUAUCAAUGCUAUCAAAAGACGGCUCACUGGAUUUUAGAACACAGCUAUUGUCUCUUGUAUUACAGACACAGUCAAAGUCAAGUCUUUUCUCUUGCUUAUAGAGCUUCAGUGUUCCCUUGUGUUCUGUCAAAGGCAAACAAAUGGAAAUAGCCGGAUAUGGAAUUGGAAUGGGAAUAAUCAUCAUACAUUACACUGACAGAUGCAAUAAUUAUAUAACUAUGGCUGUUUGAUUAAUACCUCAUUCUUGCGUAACUGCUUUGUGGACCAAAUACCACUUUGCUUCCAUAGAGGCCUUUUCUGUUCUAAUGAAAGUCCCGGGCCAGGUUGCAACAACUCCUUUAAGCUGAGAAAACCCUUAGUUAUAAUGAAGAAGGAAAGUCAUACAGGUUUGGAACAGCAUGAGGGAGAACUUCGGCCCACUUUGAGCUCAUGGUUGAUGAGCCGGUAGAGGAGGAGCAAGACUAGGAGGAGUCCUCUCUUACCCAGGGGCUGUCCGAGGGAAACUAGCCUGCUCUGAAAACCUCCUACUCAUUCCAACUCCAGAGAGGGAACACUGUGAUGAUAGGGGAGACUGGAAUGGCGCUUGGAGGCCAAACUCCAUAGCUCAAAGAAAGCAGACCAGAAGUGGCCUCAUCCUAUGCUGUGUCGUAAGCCUAUGUGUUCAGAUGACCUCUUCAAACCACCUGCGGUCCCAUCCUCGUCCCCUCCUGCAUUCCAGGAUUAAAGAAAGACAAGAGGAAAGGAUUUGCAAUCAGGAUCAGGAACUGACAUAAGUCGGACUGACAUGACCACCAUUGCUGAAUGGAAUUUCUUCAAAAAGAGGAAAUAUUGGUGAAAUGAAGUAUACAUCGCUGACCCCAAUGCCCUCUGAAGCCCUCGACACUAACAGACGGGGAACCUCUGCGGCCUGGUCUGGAGAAGGCAUCUCACCUGGG